AUUGAACGCUGGCGGCAGGCCUAACACAUGCAAGUCGAGCGAGCGGCGGACGGGUGAGUAAUGUCUGGGAAACUGCCUGAUGGAGGGGGAUAACUACUGGAAACGGUAGCUAAGACCGCAUACCAUCAGAUGUGCCCAGAUGGGAUUAGCUAGUCGGUGGGGUCACGGCUCACCUAGGCGACGAUCCCUAGCUGGUCUGAGAGGAUGACCAGCCACCCUGGAACAGAGACACGGUCCAGACUCCUACGUGAGGAAGCAGUGGGGACUAGGUCACAAUGGGCGUAAGCUUGAUGCAGCCAUGCCGCGUGUGUGAAGAAGGCCUGCGGGUUGUAAAGCACUGUCAGCGGGGAGGCGUUACCCGCAGAAGAAGCACCGGCUAACUCAGUGCCAGCAGCCGAGGUAAUUC
rnacentral:rRNA from 1 species